UUUCUCGAGACGUGAGCGUGAGCUGCCUGUGAUGGCAUUAGUCGAACUUAGACUACGUACGUCGGAAACAAUAAUGAAUUAUAGCAGCGAAUUCGUCACUGAAGAGGCUGUUUCUUGGCUACAGUCGCAUGGAAUGAGACUUAAGAAAGGAAAGAAAAAGACGGUUGCGAUGGCCAAGAUCUCCUUGCCAUCGCCCAAGAUGCAGACGUACCAAGGCACUACAUCCCUAUUAUAAAAGAGCGUCUAAAGCUCAAGAAAUUGAUUGCAAUGAACGCUGAACCUAGAGAUGACACGAGUUCUUCGUCGCGUGCAGAAUCAAGUCCUUCGAGUAAGACGGUUCAAACGUCGAUUGAUGAUUCAGAUAACAUCAGCGAUUAUGAAAAUUUAGAGGUGAUAUUGGCACCGAAUGAAAAGGGUAAAUCGCCCAAGGAUCUCUGUUUUACGGACGAGGCG